GACCCUAGUGGAUCCUCUCUUGGAGCUCAUGCUUAUUCAGUUGGUUUUGCAGAAGUCAUUUGAUGGGGAAGCACAAUGAGCAACUGCUCAGCUCUUGACAUUGCUUUGGUCUUUUUUGGUGGAAGGAGUGAAAAUUAAGCAGGCAAAUGACAUGAAAUUGUUGGUCAACACUGUUUUGUACCUUCGGUGUCAAUCUUGGGCUAUCUAUAGCGAUUAGCAACAGGAGGUUUUGCUAGGAACUGCUUGAUUGCAAUAUACCAGUCACAAGUUAAAUGCCCAAACCAUGAAAUCAGCUCGUUUUUUUCUUUGUUCGUUUAGAAAACGUAAGGGCAUCUGUUUCUUCACUUCUAAUCCAGUUCCUGUCUGUUUAUAUCAUUCUAACUUAAGAUAGGUAACAGCGAAAAAUGGUCGUAUAGUAUAUGUGUAUUCCUAGCUGGACAAGCUCCUGAAUAU
rnacentral:sRNA from 1 species